GUACACUUUUUAUUGAUAAAGUGAUGGUUGCAAACUUGCAAACCUGUAUGCUACAGGUUAUUACUGAGAAUGUUAGCCAGCAAUACUGAGAAAGAUUAAUGCAGGGUCAGCCAUCAGGUCACAGCAUCUCAGCCAAGAUAAGCAUGGGCUCCCACGUUCCAAGAAGAAUUACGGAGAAACGAUUUGGUUUUAGUUUGUGAAUCACAGGCAACUGUAAUAAUUCUACAAAAAAUAUCGUAAAGAAAGGAGAGUUCAAAUGGCAAAAUCCGCAGCAAAAUUAGUACUCUGUGUCGUUCUUGUGUCCAUAUUUCUCUCCGAAGUUGACUUAUCAUGUUGUGCAGUUCGUGGACGGCAAACACAAACAAUUAGAUUUGCACCGACCCAAACUCCGACCACGGCUCCAAUUCAAUCGAUGGUGAACAGGCAGAGUGUAAACGCAUUAAAUACAAGAUGUCCGUUUGGUUACCACUAUUCUACAUUUGUGGGGAGAUGUAUUCCAACUGCCAGAUCGGGAGGUGUAGGGCGAUGAUAAUUUGGGGAUUUAAUAGUUCAACAAUGUGGGUAUUUAUUUCGAGUUCGAGUCGUUAGCAAAAAAAAACAAAGUUCGCAAGUUCGCAAAAAAAAUUAGCUUGAAAAUCCAUUUGCGAACUUGGGCAUCUUCAAGCCUAGCAUGUAGUUCACAAAAUAUUUUUCAAAAUUAUGUUGGGAUGUGAAAUUGCCAACUCGUAAUGACACCCCUAAUGAAACAUGUUACAAUUUUGUAAGGCUAAAUCUAUUUUUAGGAAUAAACUCACUUAUUUAAAGUUCAAUUGUAAUUAAUUUAAUAAUUGUGCAACUCCUCAGUCCAACCAAUGUUGAAUGUUAACGAUAUUUAUAUGUUGGGUUAAAGGUUACAUAUAACAUUCUCGAUAUGUCGAGAAUUUUCACUUCUUAAACAAUUUAGAAUGAUAUGCAUAUCUUCUAACUCUAAUACUAACAUUUGCUAUAAAUUAGCAUUUGUCUAAUGUCUUUAUGAACAAACUACAUUAAUAUUACAGAUAUGUAUGUAUGUAUAUACUUAACAUGUUUUGCUAGAAUUGUGAAAGUCUUUUCUAUUCAUUUCCAUCGACUUAAAUAUGUAUGUAUUAAUCGAAUUAUAGUGAAUGAGGCAAAACCAUUGAAUGAAAAUAAAUUUUACAAUGCAUAGACUUUA